AGAGUUUGAUCAUGGCUCAGAACGAACGCUGGCGGCAGGCUUAACACAUGCAAGUCGAACGAUGUAGCAAUACAUAGUGGCGCACGGGUGAGUAACGCGUGGGAAUAUACCUUAUAGUGGGGAAUAACUUUGGGAAACUAAAGCUAAUACCGCAUACGCCCGAGAGGGGAAAGAUUUAUCGCUAUAAGAUUAGCCCGCGUGAGAUUAGGUAGUUGGUGGGGUAAUGGCCUACCAAGCCUACGAUCUCUAGCUGGUCUGAGAGGAUGAUCAGCCACACUGGAACUGAGACACGGUCCAGACUCCUACGGGAGGCAGCAGUGGGGAAUAUUGGGCAAUGGAGGAAACUCUGACCCAGCCAUGCCGCGUGAAUGAUGAAGGCCUUAGGGUUGUAAAGUUCUUUCGCCGAUGAAGAUAAUGACGGUAGUCGGAGAAGAAGCCCCGGCUAACUUCGUGCCAGCAGCCGCGGUAAUACGAAGGGGGCUAGCGUUGUUCGGAAUUACUGGGCGUAAGCGAGCGUAGGUUGCUCGAUAAGUCAGUGGUGAAAGCCCAGAGCUCAACUCUGGAACUGCCAUUGAAACUGUCGAGCUGGAAUCUCAGAGGGGGUAGCGGAAUUCCAAAUGUAGGGGUGAAAUCCGUAGAUAUUUGGAGGAACACCGGUGGCGAAGGCGGCUACCUGGAUGAGUAUUGACACUGAGGCUCGAAAGCGUGGGGAUCAAACAGGAUUAGAUACCCCGGUAGUCCAA
rnacentral:rRNA from 1 species